CCUUCCGCGGGUUGGGAAACAGCCAUCGAAAUGAACAGUUCAGGGUGUCACCCAGAACCUUGUGAAACCUGAAGGAAAGCUGAAUUCAGAAAACGUGACAGAGAAGGAAAAGAGACUUCAAAUGAUGACGUGACCUGCCUGUCCCAGCCUGUAAAAGCAGAGCUGGAAUGUGAGCCCAGAAACUUCCUUAAUCACCAUGCUUCAAGGAAAGGCCAAGAAAGGAGGAAAGCGACUACUGAGUAUAUCAAGGGAAUGAAUAACCCUGCUUGGUUUUGUUCAGAACUUUUGGAAAAGUCGUUCACCGUCAUAGAAGAUGACACGAGCAAUGCCCACACCACUCACGGAAUCCGAGUCUCCACACGGCAAAGCUGCGUGGCCCUGCCCUGGGGGCCUCCAGAUUCACAAGGGCUCUGGGUCUGCACCCUCGCUCCUGGGACGUUCUUACUUAUUUCUUACAAAUAUGGUCCUGCGGAGUGCUUGCCUGUUGAAAUACACCUUAUUUUAUUGUAAGUUAUUUUCUUUUUGAAUUCUACUUUGCAUCUCUGCUCUGGCGGUUGCUUAUCCACAAAAGAAAUUGAUUUCUCCCAGUUCUGGAGG